rnacentral:rRNA from 1 species
AACGAACGCUGGCGGCAGGCUUAACACAUGCAAGUCGAGCGCCCCGCAAGGGGAGCGGCAGACGGGUGAGUAACGCGUGGGAACGUACCCUUUGCUACGGAAUAGCUCCGGGAAACUGGAAUUAAUACCGUAUGUGCCCUACGGGGGAAAGAUUUAUCGGCAAAGGAUCGGCCCGAGUUAGAUUAGCUAGUUGGUGGGGUAAUGGCCUACCAAGGCGACGAGCCAUAGCUGGUCUGAGAGGAUGAUCAGCCACAUUGGGACUGAGACACGGCCCAAACUCCUACGGGAGGCAGCAGUGGGGAAUAUUGGACAAUGGGCGCAAGCCUGAUCCAGCCAUGCCGCGUGAGUGAUGAAGGCCUUAGGGUUGUAAAGCUCUUUCACCGGAGAAGAUAAUGACGGUAUCCGGAGAAGAAGCCCCGGCUAACUUCGUGCCAGCCGCCGCCGUAACAC